rnacentral:tRNA from 1 species
AGCGAUGUGCUUGAUAAAAAGAUUGUCUUGAUAGGACAAAUAAUGGAAGGCAGCCUUCCCAUCGUUA